UACGAAGGGGGCUAGCGUUGCUCGGAAUUACUGGGCGUAAAGGGUGCGUAGGUGGGUUGGUAAGUCAGUGGUGAAAUACUUUCGCUUAACGAAGGAACUGCCAUUGAUACUACCAGUCUUGAAUACAGUGGAGGUAGGCGGAAUGCGUCAUGUAGCGGUGAAAUGCUUAGAUAUGACGCAGAACACCAAUUGCGAAGGCAGCUUGCUACACUGUUAUUGACACUGAGGCACGAAAGCGUGGGGAUCAAACAGG
rnacentral:rRNA from 1 species